UACGUAGGGUCCGAGCGUUGUCCGGAAUUAUUGGGCGUAAAGGGCUCGUAGGCGGUCUGUUGCGUCGGGAGUGAAAACUUACAGCUUAACUGUGAGCGUGCUUCCGAUACGGGCAGACUUGAGGUAUUCAGGGGAGAACGGAAUUCACGGUGUAGCAGUGAAAUGCGUAGAGCUCGUGAGGAAGACCGGUGGCGAAGGCGGAUCUCUGGACGGCCCCUGACGCUGAGGCGCGAAGGCUAGGGGAGCAAACGGG
rnacentral:rRNA from 1 species